rnacentral:rRNA from 1 species
ACAAUGGAGAGUUUGAUCCUGGCUCAGGAUGAACGCUAGCUACAGGCUUAACACAUGCAAGUCGAGGGGAAACGACAUCGAAAGCUUGCUUUUGAUGGGCGUCGACCGGCGCACGGGUGAGUAACGCGUAUCCAACCUGCCCACCACUUGGGGAUAACCUUGCGAAAGUAAGACUAAUACCCAAUGAUAUCUCUAGAAGACAUCUGAAAGAGAUUAAAGAUUUAUCGGUGAUGGAUGGGGAUGCGUCUGAUUAGCUUGUUGGCGGGGUAAC